rnacentral:rRNA from 1 species
UACGAAGGGUGCAAGCGUUAAUCGGAAUUACUGGGCGUAAAGCGUGCGCAGGCGGCUUUGCAAGACAGAUGUGAAAUCCCCGGGCUCAACCUGGGAACUGCAUUUGUGACUGCAAGGCUAGAGUACGGCAGAGGGGGAUGGAAUUCCGCGUGUAGCAGUGAAAUGCGUAGAUAUGCGGAGGAACACCAAUGGCGAAGGCAAUCCCCUGGGCCUGUACUGACGCUCAUGCACGAAAGCGUGGGGAGCAAACAGG